rnacentral:rRNA from 1 species
UACGGAGGAUGCAAGCGUUAUCCGGAAUGAUUGGGCGUAAAGCGUCCGCAGGUGGCUGUGUAAGUCUGCUGUCAAAGAGCGAAGCUCAACUUCGUAAGGGCAGUGGAAACUACACGGCUAGAGUGCGUUCGGGGCAGAGGGAAUUCCUGGUGUAGCGGUGAAAUGCGUAGAGAUCAGGAAGAACACCGGUGGCGAAGGCGCUCUGCUAGGCCGCAACUGACACUGAGGGACGAAAGCUAGGGGAGCGAAUGGG